rnacentral:pre_miRNA from 1 species
CACCACUAGUUGAUGAAGCUGCCAGCAUGAUCUCAACUUGCUUUAUUGAUCAACCAAUCAUUUCAUCAUUGAUCAUCAUCAUCAUCUCAUCAAGAUUAGAUCAUGCUGGUAGCUUCAUCUUUUGAUGGG